rnacentral:rRNA from 1 species
CGCGUAAAGAACUUGCUCACAGCUAGGGACAACAUUUAGAAAUGAAUGCUAAUACCUGAUAUUAUGAUUUUAAGGCAUCUUAGAAUUAUGAAAGCUAUAAGCACUGUGAGAGAGCUUUGCGUCCCAUUAGCUAGUUGGAGAGGUAACAGCUCACCAAGGCGAUGAUGGGUAGCCGGCCUGAGAGGGUGAACGGCCACAAGGGGACUGAGGCACGGCCCUU